AUACAUGUUUUUCACCUGUUUCGCGUAAGUCACUGACGUCAAUUGACAUUGCGAUUUGCGCAGUUUUCUCGGCGAUUUAGAGAAAGAUGUUUGCGAACGGUUUGAGAAAUGCGUCCCGUUUAUCGGGAAUUGUCAGCAGGUCGUAUCACAACUCAAUUGUCAGCGCUCCGCCUGAAGUAAGAAUUUCUACCCUGGAAUUAGCAGGAUCUCUCCUGCUCUUUGGUUCAUCUAUACUAGUAUGGCCCAUGUACUUCGUACCUAAUUUCAAAAACUUUGCCAAAUCUAAGAAGUAAAACACUAAAAUAUGAGAUUUUAGAUUUACAAAAAUGUAAUGUUACUAGCUCGAAGUUUGUAUAAGUUAAAGUUACAUUAUUUAAAGUAUCUACAACGUGAGACAGAUUUAUAUUGUGUCCAGUAUGUCCAGUCAAUAGAAACCAGGUUUAGAAGUUUCUGGAUCGUCAAAAUAAAGAUGCACAAGUAGUCUCAAAAUGAA